AUCGGAUCUGAAGGAGGCUUAUUUAAACUCCUCUUUCCUUUUCCUCAUUGCCCUGUCGUGGUUUCCCUGAGUAGAUUAUCCAAGAGUGUUCCUGAGCGGUUAUUGCCUUUGGCUCCGUUUGACUUCCCUGUAUUCUGGUAUCCUUGACUUUUGGCUUUCCCUCAUCGUUGUGUCUCAUUCUGUGUCCCCGACCUCGGCAAGUAAUCUGACUAUUCUCUGGUACGUUAAGUCUGGCCAUUUUAAGGCCCGGUAAGACG